AUGGAUUGACGCUGAAAGAGACACGAUGACACCUAAGAAAUUACACUAAUACAACUUUAAAAAAAUUAGAAAAGGCCAGUUAUAUUAUCAGGUAUCUGAUACCUAUUACAUAAUCAUUUGGGGAUUCUAAACUCAACUACAGAUAGAGUUAACCCAAGAGACUGGAGAGAACAAUUGGCAGGUUAUAUACAGUUGUUGAAGCAAAAAUUAGCAUAUUCUCCUGACCAAAAAUGCAGCUGUGAUGAACCUUCCUGCUGGAGAGCUGUCAUUCAGCAAGGUGUGAGGUUGCCAGACGCACCGGUUUGUAUGCAGGCGUAUGUAUGCCCCUCUCCUCCUAGGAGAUACUGGAGAGGCCCGUUUCCUCUGGUCUCAAGUGUAAGUUGUGCUGGCUAGGAAUCAGGAUGCCUGGAUUGCUGUCCAAAGACUGCUUCUUCGGACCUGGGGCUAAAUUGUUAAGGUUUGCUUAGUCCAUGAGGCCUUGAUCUCCACAGAUGGAGAAGUGUGGUACCAGAGUCAGGGACUCCUAUUGCACAGUGAAAUCUAGUGAAAGCUGGUUAAGAAACAACGAGCUGCUUGCUUCUGUCAGACUACUAUAAUGUUUUGAUACAGAAAAUACCUACAAUAUUGUUUCCCCCUCUGAAAAUGUAAUUGAAAUGCCAUUUCCUAUUAUGAGGUUGCCCCUCUGUUCUAUGACACCUGUUUUCUCUAUUCCCACCUUGUACUUUGCAAUAAAACACAGUAUUUGACUUACAGCUGCACCACAGUAACACUGAGUAAGAAUGCAUUACAGCCUUAAGUUGCAACAAGAACACAUUAUAUUGGUAAUUAAAUGAAUCAGGCUGGGUAAGAUUUGCAGCUAAAGAUGAGCAACAGCUGGCUUAAAUACUUAACACACUGCCUCUAACAGGCAGCUCAAACUCCAAAUGAAGUCAACGGAUAGCACUGCCAAGAACCAGGGCAUGUACUCCUUAAACUGUAAUAUUUACUACUGAGCUCAGUUCGCUGUUGAGCUUUGCACUUCUGGCCGUGACUGAUCUACGAGGCUGGCUUCAUAGCUAAUCAGGCCAUAGAUGGGUUUUGUAACAGCUCCAACCCUUGGAUAUUGCCAAUCCCAGUUUUACAGGGCUCUCUGAUCACAGUCAGGGGUUACCAAGUUCUUUGGUCUUACUGUUUAAGCAUAGGGCAUGCCACAAUUCUUCGUAUUUGUUAGCCAAAAGCUACCAAGACUGUACUGGAGUAACUGAGGUGAUAUUGAUCUGAUAAAAUGCUGCCUCCAUCCAAUUUAGAAGGAACACCUUUGACAAAUUAUAUUUGGCACUUAAUGAUUGUCUUGCAUUAUUGGUCUUUUCCUUUGUUUCCUCUUUCAUUUUGAUUACCAAAGAUGUUAUCCUCUACUCCACCUCACCAUAUGUAACUUUGAAUAAAGAUGUGCAGCAACAACAGUAACAGUAGAAUUUUAAAAGGAGACAAGGGCAAAUGCAGAAGCACAGAUCUGUAGGUGUCUCUGGAGGCUGCAGGGCGUUUGCUACAUUCCUGGAGUCCAGCUUUAUGUACACACACCAGAGUUAAACAGGGCCCCAGACAGCUUAAAUGCCUGCUUAUUGCCUAUUUAAUCUCUUAGUCCUUAUACAGACAAAUUCUCUCAAUUACAACACCCCCUUUGUCUGCAUAAAAACUGCAGAAUGAGAAACAAAAAGGAGCCCCAAGUGUGAAACUAGACUCAAGACUUGUGUAAUUCCUAGAGAAGAAAGUGGCAGGGAUCUUGCAAACCAUUUAUUCAUCUGUCACAGCGUUCCUACAGCUGUGGCAGCAAGCAGAACCUGGGAAGGGCUUUUUGUCAUGCUGACAUGAGUGAUAAGAAAUCUGGGGAGUGUGCAAACAAUGUCAGGAGCAGGGCAGGACCUUCUUCCAAGCCCAGCCUGUGCAGGCACGGGAAGGAGGAGAAACAGCCAUCUGGUGACCCAAGCGACUGCUUGAUGUGGUUUCCCAGAAAAGUGUCAGCAACUGCAUGGACAGAACUUGCCAACAGUUCCACCAGACCAUACUGGACUGGCACUUCUGGGAAAAAGUGAAGAAUGAAUCAAGCUGGAUCUGUUCUCUGUAUGUGUGGGUCUCCUGGCAGAUGCAUGGGAAUAACCACUCACAACUACUAAAAAGAAUGUAAUUUUGCUAUGGAUGCUGCAAAUCACACAAGUGACUUCUCUGUUCUUACCCUGUUAGGGAAAGUCAUCAGAAUUUUCUGGUUUUCAACAGUAAGUUGAUCUCAAAAUCUCUAAUUACAAAAAAUAUCUAAAAAUUUAUUAGCCAGCAGAUUUAUGUUUGAAAAAUAUAGCACUUUAAUUAGAGAUGCUGUAAUUCUCAAUUUUUAAGAAAAUGUGAUUACUGCAAUUUCUUUGUUAUAGUUUUACUAUUUAAAAAAACAUUAUUUAAAAGGGACUAUGUUAACUGUUUAUUUCACACUGUUAAACCCCCAACAAAACAUAAGCAAACACUUGAGCACUCUCUUCCUAGCAACCAAGGUCUUUCAUCAGAAAAGCAGCAUAUUUGCCCUUUUGUCCCUCUACAUUGCAUUAAGCCAAAUUUCUAGUUUGCAAUGUGGGGCAGGGUUUGGCUGCUCUCAGCAAAACCCCCAGCAUCGCACAAUUGAUAGAAGGAGACGUGCUGGAGCUUGUUGGUCACAGACCUUGGAAAGAAUAAGAUAAGAACUCCGUGCAGGAAGAACAGGGGGUGCUGACCUGGUGUUUGUGUUAAGAUUAGGCGCUGUGGAGCAGAUGUCCUGUAACUGGGAGUUACUGUUUUUGUAGGUAGGACUGUUGCAAUUAGAAAGUGAAUGUUUAGAAAAAAGCCUUUAGCAUUAGCUAAUCUCUGAAUGCCUGAUGUAGAAUGUAAGCCAAAUAAAUCUUUGGUAUACUUUAAAGAAACCAAUUAGUGUGUAACACGCUAUCUAGGAACUAGUAUAAAAGUAUGUGAGGAGUCAUAAUAAAACGGACACUUCGCUUGCAUCAAGCUGUGUCCCGUCUCUCAACUGCAGCAAAUUGGUGACCCCGACGUGAUGCGGGACGAAAUGAUGUGAUUAAACAGGGAAUGAAGUGACUCCAGAAUUCAACAACCACCUAUCUGCGUGGCAUGCUGUGAGUCCCACAGGACAUUGAAUGAGCUGCUGAAAGGAAGCAGGAGCUGGCCAGCACGAAAUCCCUCCGGAGUAGGGAGGAACUGUGGGAUGAUGUCGGAGUAAAAUUAUGGGAUGCUGCGACGAUGGGGGAUGCCGAAGCGCAGCGCAUGCUUCCGUGGUGGAGAAGUAUUUUUGAGACAUUAAAAGCCCAGGAGGAAAGUCAUAAAGAUAAAGCAGAGAAGGAGGGGAGCUCUCCCGCAGCACCUCUGAUGCUGCUGGAAAACAAAACAAACCCCGAGCCUUCCGAAGUGUGUGCUGCGGGUACCCCCUGGAAGAAGACCCCUUUGAUCCGGGGCCGAUGGACUCUGAAAAGGAGCCAGACCUCUACCCCCCCGACCCACGUGAUGUAUGGGCUAACAUAAGGCGUCAGGCCCUAAAGGAGGGAGAGCUGGAGAUCGCAAAAACUAUUGUGGCCCCUAUGACUUACCAAGGGCGGGGGGCGCAGUGGGAAGCUUUAUCUUUUCCAGUAGUUAAGGAGCUGCGUCGUACUGUUACUGAGCAUGGGCUUUCUUCCCCGUAUUUUGCAAGUCUGUUAUCUUCUGGUUUUGAUACUUAUGUAAUGACUCCGCAUGAUUUAAAAUCCCUAGCGCAAUUGUUAUUGACUCCAACACAGUACACCUUAUGGGAGUCACGUUGGAGGGGGGGACUCCAGGCGCUCCUUGCGACCUAUGUAGGUCACGGCAAUGCAGCUCUGGCUGCAAUGACUAUCGAGCACCUUACCGGCACAGGUCAGCACUCUGACCCAGUAGCUCAAGCCCGAGAUAUCCCACGGGAGGCUCCUGAGGCAACUCGUGAGGAAGCGAGAAGGGCUUUUUUCAAAAUCCCGGACCUACAAAAGCCACGAAAAGCCUUUACCACCAUUACCCAGGAAUCUCGAGAACCUUAUAUAUGCAGUUUAUUGAUAGACUGAAACAGGCUUUGGAGCGCCAGGUAGAUAAUACAGCGGCGCGGGAAAUCCUAUUGUUAAAGCUAGCCAUCGAAAACGCUAAUGCAGACUGUAAAAAGUUAUUGAAAUCUCUCCCGAAUCCGAAUCCUACAUUGGUUGAGAUGAUAGAGGCUUGUAAUAGAAUCGGUACUGUGGAUCAUAAAUUUGAGGCCAUGGCCACUGCUUUCGCGGCCAUGCGUGGCCCGACAGGGCCGGGGAACUGUUACGGUUGUGGCAAACCCGGUCAUCUGAAAAGGAAUUGCUUAGCUGCCAAUACUGGUGCUAAGCCCCAGGCUCCUGGGAUUUGUCCCAGGUGCCAAAAAGGGCGUCAUUAUGCUAAUCAAUGUCGAUCUAAGUAUGAUUUCCAGAGACAACCAAUACAGGGAAAACGAUCACGGAGCGCGGGGCAGCACCGCGCGCAGACACAAAUGCCACAGCCGACAUUCCAACCUCCAUGGAGGAAAGCAGCAGUGCCUCAAGUCUUCGCCCAGCAACAGCAGAGAAAGGCCCUCGAUGGAUCCCGGCAAAGAGCAUACGACCUUUCUGUGAAUCCCUACCACAAUCAUCUGGUGAGAAUUCCGAUCAUCCUUCGGACCAGCCCUUCGAGCAACAAACUGGUGAACCUCCUGAGGGAGGGACAAGACAAUGGGGACUGAACGCUGCAAGCAAGGAAGAACUGUAUGAACCGGUGUAAAGAAACACCAGUUGCGAAAAUCACUUGUGCUUUAUGUAAAACCUAUGAACCCUGGGUCUUCAGUAUAUGCUUUGGCUGUCUCUGUUCUCUUGUUACUUUUUUCCCCCAUGUUUAUUGCAAUGCUUACAAGGACUGAUAGCACACUCCAUAAAAAGAGUUCUUAUUGCGCAACAGAAAGGGGGAGAUGUGGGGCAGGGUUUGGCUGGUCUCAGCAAAACCCCCAGCAUUGCACAAUUGAUAGAAGGAGACGUGCUGGAGCUUGUUGGUCACACCUUGGAAAGAAUAAGAUAAGAACUCCGUGCAGGAGGAACAGGGGGUGCUGACCUGGUGUUUGUGUUAAGAUUAGGCGCUGUGGAGCAGAUGUCCUGUAACUGGGAGUUACUGUUUUUGUAGGUAGGACUGUUGCAAUUAGAAAGUGAAUGUUUAGAAAAAAGCCUUUAGCAUUAGCUAAUCUCUGAAUGCCUGAUGUAGAAUGUAAGCCAAAUAAAUCUUUGGUAUACUUUAAAGAAACCAAUUAGUGUGUAACACGCUAUCUAGGAACUAGUAUAAAAGUAUGUGAGGAAUCAUAAUAAAACGGACACUUCGCUUGCA